AAGAAAAUUGGCUUUGUAGAAGA
rnacentral:snRNA from 1 species